rnacentral:rRNA from 1 species
AGAGUUUGAUCAUGGCUCAGGACGAACGCUGGCGGCGUGCUUAACACAUGCAAGUCGAACGGAAAGGCCCUGCUUUUGUGGGGUGCUCGAGUGGCGAACGGGUGAGUAACACGUGAGUAACCUGCCCUUGACUUUGGGAUAACUUCAGGAAACUGGGGCUAAUACCGGAUAGGAGCUCCUGCUGCAUGGUGGGGGUUGGAAAGUUUCGGCGGUUGGGGAUGGACUCGCGGCUUAUCAGCUUGUUGGUGGGGUAGUGGCUUACCAAGGCUUUGACGGGUAGCCGGCCUGAGAGGGUGACCGGCCACAUUGGGACUGAGAUACGGCCCAGACUCCUACGGGAGGCAGCAGUGGGGAAUAUUGCACAAUGGGCGGAAGCCUGAUGCAGCAACGCCGCGUGCGGGAUGACGGCCUUCGGGUUGUAAACCGCUUUCGCCUGUGACGAAGCGUGAGUGACGGUAAUGGGUAAAGAAGCACCGGCUAACUACGUGCCAGCAGCCGCGGUGAUACGUAGGGUGCGAGCGUUGUCCGGAUUUAUUGGGCGUAAAGGGCUCGUAGGUGGUUGAUCGCGUCGGAAGUGUAAUCUUGUGGGCUUAACCCUGAGCGUGCUUUCGAUACGGGUUGACUUGAGGAAGGUAGGGGAGAAUGGAAUUCCUGGUGGAGCGGUGGAAUGCGCAGAUAUCAGGAGGAACACCAGUGGCGAAGGCGGUUCUCUGGGCCUUUCCUGACGCUGAGGAGCGAAAGCGUGGGGAGCGAACAGGCUUAGAUGCCCUGGUAGUCCACGCUGUAAACGGUGGGUACUAGGUGUGGGGUCCAUUCCACGGGUUCCGCGCCGUAGCUAACGCUUUAAGUACCCCGCCUGGGGAGUACGGCCGCAAGGCUAAAACUCAAAGGAAUUGACGGGGCCCCGCACAAGCGGCGGAGCAUGCGGAUUAAUUCGAUGCAACGCGUAGAACCUUACCUGGGUUUGACAUGGAUCGGGAGUGCUCAGAGAUGGGUGUGCCUCUUUUGGGGUCGGUUCACAGGUGGUGCAUGGCUGUCGCCAGCUCGUGUCGUGAGAUGUUGGGUUAAGUCCCGCAACGAGCGCAACCCUUGUUCACUGUUGCCAGCACGUUAUGGUGGGGACUCAGUGGAGACCGCCGGGGUCAACUCGGAGGAAGGUGGGGAUGACGUCAAGUCAUCAUGCCCCUUAUGUCCAGGGCUUCACGCAUGCUACAAUGGCUGGUACAGAGAGUGGCGAGCCUGUGAGGGUGAGCGAAUCUCGGAAAGCCGGUCUCAGUUCGGAUUGGAGUCUGCAACUCGACUCCAUGAAGUCGGAAUCGCUAGUAAUCGCAGAUCAGCUAUGCUGCGGUGAAUACGUUCCCGGGCCUUGUA